GGGAUUGUGGCUCAUUGGUAGAGCACUUGUCUAGCAUGUGUGAGGCACUGGGUUCGAACCCCAGCACCA
rnacentral:tRNA from 1 species